GAAGUGUCGGCGAGGGCGUACACAAACACUUAUGAGGACGCGUCGCCACUUUGACAUUUGUACUACGGAGCAAUGAUGAUGGACACCUCACAGCGUCAGUCACUUCUGGAGUGGUUCUACCAUGGCGCUGUGCGAGCCCUUUAAAGCGUGAACGAGGCAGCGUGCGGAAAGGUCACCGACGGCCAAGAAGAGGGCUUCACGGGCACGUAUGUGCAGUAUAUCGUCACACUUUUGGAUCUUGGUGUCAGAAUUGGGAUCCUAGACCAUCACCGCUGGACUCUCCUUGCUUCUACACCCAAUUGUCUUCCAUGAUGUGCUUUCUUGCAGAUUUGAGUGGGCCGAUCAAUAGUACUCUCUUCCAAGGAUGGUUCGAUACCUCCUUUAAUCACGUCCAAUGUCGUUAACCCAGGCGCACCUCCGAGUAUCUGACAACGCCAGCUUCCUGAAGAGUUGACGUCUUUUCUAAAUAAGAGACAUUAGUAGACUUCAGGAGGCAUCCUUCUCCACAGCAUGCCCCUGACGCUGUCCAACUGUCUUGUGUCAACUGUCGAGACCUUCAAGUUCUUGGGAAUUAGUCUCAGAGGACCUGAACUGGGAGACUAACAUCAACUCCAUCCUCAAAAAAGCCCAGCAAAGGAUGUACUUCUUGCGGCUUCUGAGGAACCACGGCCUGUCACAGGAGCUGCUGAGACGGUUCUGUACAGCGGUACAUCCAAUGAGUACUGUGCACCGCCAUCACUGUCUGGUUUGGGGCCGCCACAUAAAUAGGACAAACUCCGAUCGCAAUGGACAAUCAAAACCGCUGCACGGAUCGUCAGCACCACGCUACCUACUAACGAGGACUUGCACACAAUACAAAACUAGGUCCAGAGCAGGCAGGCUCCUUUCGGACCCUCCAGAUCCUGGUCCACCAGUUCUUCCGGCUCCUUCCAUCUGGAAAGCGCUACAGAUCAAUGAAAAUCAAAAGUAGCAGGACACUCACUCACAUCCUGCUGGUCCAUUCAGAACCGAGUACCGCAAACAGCUUGCCUGGAUGAAGAUCCGAUACGUUCAAGCCGCGGCCAAACUACGCUGUCUGAAAGCCAACGACUGUAUGUCGAAGCCAAAA